rnacentral:lncRNA from 1 species
CAUUUUCCUGUUAUCUGUGCUUUUGAAGUUGUUGGCACUGACUUAAUUUGUAGGGUGGAAAUGCUCUGUAAUGGCAGCCACUUAGCAUCUCUUUCCAACUCUGCCUUCAGUCUUAGCAGGGGCUGGAGACAACAAUGGUGGGAGUAUGGACGCAUGGAAAUCAGUGAACACUGCAAAGCAGUGGUAGUCAACACUUUAUGAAUACCUGCUGUGGAUGUUUCAGUUUGAAUUAGAAGUCCUCAUCUCAACAAAGAGCUUUUCUUCAAGAAAGAGACCUGUCAUCUCCCAGUUGCCAACAUCGCCCUUCUCUGAGCUGGCUCAGUUUAUACUGUCUCGGCUUUCACCCAGCCUGUUCAGUGGAGACUGCAGGACAAGAAGACCAGCAGUAUUGUUUUCCUUCUUAGAUGAUCCAGGCCCUUGGGUUUCUGAGCACACCUCUACUGCUUACACAGACCUGACUGGUUGCAUAGGAAAGAUCUGGAGCUGCCUGUGCCUUUAUCUGCAUGCCUCAUCUGAAGGGACUCAGGGCUGUGUUUGCUCACGAAGAGCCAUGUCUACAAGUACCUGUUUGAGGACUCAGAAAGCUUGUCUAAGCCUGGAAGACAUUAUCCAAGUCUUUGCUCUUGUCUCCUUAAUGGGGCCCAGCAACAACCCUCCACCUCUGGAAUUCUCUGCUUAGUGAUAUGUUCCUGAGAUGCAUCCUGGUUUGAUGCUAAUAAGCACCAAACUGUCAAGUCUGUCUUUUUGAGCUGUCAUAUCUGUGUCUGACAUUAGAGUUCAUCUCUGAACGAAUAGAAACAGCUUCAAAUAAACUUUAUUUUUGUUAAUAUGAUGAAACUGAA